rnacentral:rRNA from 1 species
CCUACGGGAGGCAGCAGUGAGGAAUAUUGGGCAAUGGAGGAAACUCUGACCCAGCCAUGCCGCGUGAGUGAAGAAGGUUUUCGAAUUGUAAAGCUCUUUCGGAGGUGAAGAGGAUGACGGUAACAUCGAAAGAAGCCCCGGCAAACUUCGUGCCAGCAGCCGCGGUAAUACGAAGGGGGCAAGCGUUGUUCGGAAUUACUGGGCGUAAAGGGUGUGUAGGCGGGAAAGUAAGAUAGUGGUGAAAUGCCUGAGCUCCACUUGGGAACUGCCAUUAUAACUAUUUUUCUAGAGUGACAGAGAGGUUAUUGGCAUCCCCCGUGUAGAGGUGAACUUCUUAGAUCUUGGG